rnacentral:rRNA from 1 species
AUUGAACGCUGGCGGCAUGCUUUACACAUGCAAGUCGAACGGCAGCACGGGGGUAACCUUGGUGGCGAGUGGCGAACGGGUGAGUAAUAUAUCGGAACAUAUCCGGAAGUGGGGGAUAACGUACCGAAAGGUACGCUAAUACCGCAUAUGCCCUGAGGGGGAAAGGAGGGGAUCGUAAGACCUUUCGCUUUCGGAGUGGCCGAUAUCGGAUUAGCUAGUUGGUGAGGUAAAGGCUCACCAAGGCGACGAUCCGUAGCUGGUCUGAGAGGACGACCAGCCACACGGGAACUGAGACACGGUCCAGACUCCUACGGGAGGCAGCAGUGGGGAAUUUUGGACAAUGGGGGAAACCCUGAUCCAGCCAUGCCGCGUGAGUGAAGAAGGCCUUCGGGUUGUAAAGCUCUUUCAGCCGGAAAGAAAGCGCACAGGUUAAUACCUUGUGUGGAUGACGGUACCGGAAGAAGAAGCACCGGCCAACUACGUGCCAGCCGCCGCAGUAAUAC